rnacentral:rRNA from 1 species
AGUGAACGCUGGCGGUAGGCCUAACACAUGCAAGUCGAACGGCAGCACAGUAAGAGCUUGCUCUUACGGGUGGCGAGUGGCGGACGGGUGAGGAAUACAUCGGAAUCUACUUUUUCGUGGGGGAUAACGUAGGGAAACUUACGCUAAUACCGCAUACGCCCUACGGGUGAAAGCAGGGGAUCUUCGGACCUUGCGCGAUUGAAUGAGCCGAUGUCGGAUUAGCUAGUUGGCGGGGUAAUGGCCCACCAAGGCGACGAUACGUAGCUGGUCUGAGAGGAUGAUCAGCCACACUGGAACUGGGACACGGUCCAGACUCCUACGAGAGGCAGCAGUGGGGAAUAUUGGGCAAUGGGCGCAAGCCUGAUCCAGCCAGACCGCGUGGGUGAAGAAGGCGUUCGGGUUGUAAAGCCCUUUUGUUGGGAAAGAAAAGCAGCAGGUUAAUACGCCGCUGUUCUGACGGUACCCAAAGAAUAAGCACCGGCUAACUUCGUG